GCUUGCAUCAGCCAACAUAGACUAAAAUUGAAAUGAUUCAGAGAAGAUUAGCAUGGCCCCUGCACAACAAUGACAUGAAAAUUUAUGAAGCACUCCACAUUUUU